ACUUCCGGUCAGAACAUCAAUGACCGCCAUUUGAAUCAACAAAAGGAGCUGUAACACUGUGAGGGUCUGGUCAGCUGCUUCAUUCUUGAAGUCAGUGAGACCGCAAACCCACCAGAAGGAACCAACUCCGGACACAGAGGGACUAGAUAAUACUGGCUGAAUGAAGGAAUAUGAACAAGGCCACUUGAAUCCCUACUCUUUGGGCUUCUCCAGUAAAGUGGAUUCACUAGUAUAAGAAUGAGAGGCAUCUAUGUUCUCUAAUUUCUAAAGGUGAUUUCUAUCUUAAAAAUAAUAAUUAGAUUGAAGCACCCGGAUACCUUCUCAACCAUCAUCUUACAUGUAAAGUUCCUGGUAUAGAGCUCAGCACAUUGUCAUUCUCACAAAUGGCAGGCAACUAAAAUGAUAUAAGAUGCCCUUCUUGCAUGGCCGUAUAUCUUGAGCUUAUGGAUGAUUUAUUGCAACUGGCUGUUACUUCUCUCCCUUGAGCUCAUGGAGGGUGUCUUGGUCCUGAUUAUAUUUCAAGCUAACCUUCCCACUGUGAACUACUGGCAUCUUACUUUUUGACCCCUUGACAAGAAGAACUGGAGUUACCAAAAUGCUGUCAUUUAAGGUGUUGGAGUGGAAACCAGAACAUUACCUAUUAUCAAGAAGGGGUUUCUUCUAAGGCAUUCAGGGCACUCAGAAACAUACAUCUAAGGAAAGAUUCACUUAAAAACCAGCCAAGACACAGUCAUAUAAUUGGGAUCUCCAGGGCCCUGAGUAAAGACAGUCUCCUCCCACUUCAUCGUCGGUAAAUCAAACUCUCCACAGAUGGUAAUAAAUUUAAUAAAAUAAUGUCGUUUCAUUGCAACAAAUACCACAUAGAGGAAAAGAUGGCUUUCAAAUGGAUUAUUUUUUCCAGGGCAUUUCCAGGUUUUCCUGUGAGUUUCUUGCACCUACAGAGCCUGGCCAAAUACUACAAUCCUGAAGGCCCAGAAACACUGGGAAUGCACAAGGGAGUUCGACUAAACAUGAGGCUCUGCGCCUUCUCACUCGUCUUCAGAAUAGUUUGUGGAAAGUCCCCUUGCCCUCUGCCCCAGCUCGGGUAUGCCACCUGCCCUCAGUCCAGCCUUGGUGGCCUCAACCAAAUUUAGAUGCGUAAUGCCACGUGCGGUUAAUGGAUGGUACCAAAAGGGCGCGCGGCUUCUAUCUCCGCCAGCGCCGCUUUGUUACCUCUGACAACCACUCGAGGCUGGGAAGAGACCUGUGUCGUUUCCACUCAGCUCCAGCCCAGCAACUAAGUACAUUCAUACUAGGGACAUCAAUCUCAGAUGCCAAAGCCUGGAGAUUUGCAUUGCAAAUAGGCGAACGUGGUGACAUUUCACCACUGGGAGCAGAACCUGAGGCAUCUUCCUCUGUGAGAGCUAUGGGGGGGGAAUCCACUUUGUAGUCAAAUUGAGUGCAGAAGGAAGGCAAGAGGGAGGGCAGAAAUUGGACCACUCUAAUUUUGAACGACAGAAAGAAUAUUGAUUUUUGAAAUAUUGUGGUCACUUUUUUUUUUUCCCAAACCAUGGGCUUUUCCUCCAGUACUGAGAUCAGCUUUCUGCAUUUCCGCUUCCAACCCAUAAACCCAUAGCUGAGGCCCAGCUUGUGUAUAUGUAUCCUAUGGACUGCCUUUUCCUGACCCGUGUCUUCUGGAAGGGUUUACUUAAUUAUUUUUUUCAAUUCUUAUGUCCCAUUCAGAUGUCUCACUUCUGUAAUUCUCUAUCAUUUAAAAUCUUUAACAAGGAUUCUUAUACAAAAUGGUGAUAAACAUAGAAUACUUUUAUUUGAGCAUUAAAUAAGUUACUGUAUAGAAA
ensembl:lncRNA novel transcript